CAGUCGACGGCAGCGCGGGGCAACCUGGCGGCGAGUGGCGAACGGGUGAGUAAUAUAUCGGAACGUGCCCUGGAGUGGGGGAUAACGCAGCGAAAGUUGCGCUAAUACCGCAUACGAUCUAAGGAUGAAAGCGGGGGAUUCGCAAGAACCUCGUGCUCCUGGAGCGGCCGAUAUCUGAUUAGCUAGUUGGUGGGGUAAAGGCCUACCAAGGCAUCGAUCAGUAGCUGGUCUGAGAGGACGACCAGCCACACUGGAACUGAGACACGGUCCAGACUCCUACGGGAGGCAGCAGUGGGGAAUUUUGGACAAUGGGCGAAAGCCUGAUCCAGCAAUGCCGCGUGAGUGAAGAAGGCCUUCGGGUUGUAAAGCUCUUUUGUCAGGGAAGAAACGGUGCGGGCUAAUAUCCUGCACUAAUGACGGUACCUGAAGAAUAAGCACCGGCUAACUACGUGCCAGCAGCCGCGGUAAUACGUAGGGUGCAAGCGUUAAUCGGAAUUACUGGGCGUAAAGCGUGCGCAGGCGGUUUUGUAAGUCUGUCGUGAAAUCCCCGGGCUCAACCUGGGAAUUGCGAUGGAGACUGCAAGGCUAGAAUCUGGCAGAGGGGGGUAGAAUUCCACGUGUAGCAGUGAAAUGCGUAGAGAUGUGGAGGAACACCGAUGGCGAAGGCAGCCCCCUGGGUCAAGAUUGACGCUCAUGCACGAAAGCGUGG
rnacentral:rRNA from 1 species